rnacentral:rRNA from 1 species
AUUGAACGCUGGCGGCAGGCCUAACACAUGCAAGUCGAACGAGUGGCGGACGGGUGAGUAAUGUCUGGGAAACUGCCCGCUGGCGGGUGAUAACUACUGGAAACGGUAGCUAAUACCGCCUACCAUCGGAUGUGCCCAGAUGGGAUGAGCUAGUAGGUGGGGUAACGGCUCACCUAGGCGACGAUCCCUAGCUGGUCUGAGAGGAUGACCAGCCAAACGGGAACUGAGACACGGUGAAGACUCCGACGGGAGGCAGCAGUGGGGAAUAUUGGACAAUGGGCGCAAGCCUGAUGCAGCCAUGCAGCGUGUAUGAAGAAGGCCUGAGGGUUGUAAAGUAAUUUCAGCGAGGAGGCGUUACUCGCAGAAGAAGCACCGGCUAACUCCGUGCCAGCAGCCGCGGUAAUAC